UGGGGAAUUGUUCGCAAUGGGCGCAAGCCUGACGACGCAACGCCGCGUGGAGGAUGAAGGUCUUCGGAUCGUAAACUCCUGUUGCCCGGGACGAAUAGCUUCGACCUAACACGUCGGAGUAUGACGGUACCGGGUGAGGAAGCCCCGGCUAACUCUGUGCCAGCAGCCGCGGUAAUACAGAGGGGGCAAGCGUUGUUCGGAAUUACUGGGCGUAAAGGGCGCGUAGGCGGCCUGUUAAGUCGAACGUGAAAUCCCUGGGCUCAACCCAGGAACUGCGUCCGAUACUGGCUGGCUUGAAUCCGGGAGAGGGAUGCGGAAUUCCAGGUGUAGCGGUGAAAUGCGUAGAUAUCUGGAGGAACACCUGAGGUGAAGACGGGUUGCUGGGCUGACACUGACGCUGAGGCGCGAAAGCCAGGGGAGCAAACGGGAUUAGAUACCCUAGUAGUCCCUGAGCGGGCUGGCAAGGCGCAU
rnacentral:rRNA from 1 species